rnacentral:rRNA from 1 species
CGCCUUCUGAGAAAAUAUAGGAGGUCCAGCCUGCCCAGUGACAAAGUUAAACGGCCGCGGUACCCUAACCGUGCGAAGGUAGCGCAAUCACUUGUUCUUUAAAUGAGGACUAGUAUGAACGGCAUCACGAGGAUUAUACUGUCUCCCCCCUUUAAUCAGUGAAACUGAUCCCCCCGUGAAGAAGCGGGGAUAAACCUAUAAGACGAGAAGACCCUAUGGAGCUUUAAACUUACACCACCUGUCUAUAAACAUUUCAUAACAAACAGACAGACCUACGUGCUAGUUUUUGGUUGGGGUGACCGCGGAGCAAAAUAAAACCUCCAUGAUGAAAAGACUUUCCCUCUUAAUCCAAGAGCAACAUCUCAAAGAAUUGGUAAACCAACACAACUGAUCCAAAUAAUACUUUGAUCAACGAACCAAGUUACCCUAGGGAUAACAGCGCAAUCCAUUUCAAGAGCUCCUAUCGACAAAUGGGUUUACGACCUCGAUGUUGGAUCAGGGUAUCCCAGUGGUGCAGCCGCUACUAAAGGUUCGUUUGUUCAACGAUUAAAACCCU